rnacentral:rRNA from 1 species
AGGAUGAACGCUGGCGGCAUGCCUAAGACAUGCAAGUCGUACGCGAAGGCCUAAUGAUUACUACGGAAGAUUGGAGAGCUUGCUCAAAGAUUGGAAGUAGUAAGAUUUAGAUCACCUUCGAGUGGCAAACGGGUGAGUAACACGUGGGUUACCUGCCUCUAGGUUGGGGAUAACGGUUGGAAACGAUCGAUAAUACCGAAUAUGCUCUACGGAGUAAAGAAGCCCUUAAAGCUUCGCCAAGAGAUGGGCCUGCGGCGUAUUAGCUAGUUGGUGGGGUAAUGGCCUACCAAGGCAACGAUACGUAGCCGAACUGAGAGGUUAAUCGGCCACACUGGGACUGAGACACGGCCCAGACUCCUACGGGAGACAGCAGUUAGGAAUAUUCGUCAAUGGGGGAAACCCUGAACGAGCAAUGCCGCGUGAGUGAUGACGGUCCUUUGAAUUGUAAAACUCUGUUGUUAAGGAAAAAUGAUAAGUAUAGGAAAUGAUACUUAUUUGAUGGUACUUUUCAAGAAAGCCACGGCUAACUACGUGCCAGCAGCCGCGGUAAUACGUAGGUGGCGAGCGUUAUCCGGAUUUAUUGGGCGUAAAGCGUGCGCAGACGGUUUGUUAAGUUUGAAAUCAAAGCCUGGAGCUUAACUCCAGUUAGUUUCAAAAACUGGCAGGCUAGAGUGUGGUAGAGGCAAAUGGAAUUUCUAGUGUAGCGGUAAAAUGCGUAGAUAUUAGAAGGAACACCAGUGGCGAAGGCGAUUUGCUGGGCCAUUACUGACGUUCAUGCACGAAAGCGUGGGGAGCAAAUAGGAUUAGAUACCCUAGUAGUCCACGCCGUAAACGAUGAGUACUAAGUGUCGGGAAACCGGUGCUGAAGUUAACACAUUAAGUACUCCGCCUGAGUAGUACGGUCGCAAGGCUGAAACUCAAAUGAAUUGAC